rnacentral:rRNA from 1 species
AGUGAACGCUGGCGGUAGGCCUAACACAUGCAAGUCGAACGGCAGCACAGUAAGAGCUUGCUCUUACGGGUGGCGAGUGGCGGACGGGUGAGGAAUACAUCGGAAUCUACUUUUUCGUGGGGGAUAACGUAGGGAAACUGACGCUAAUACCGCAUAAGACCUACGGGUGAAAGCAGGGGAUCUUCGGACCUUGCGAGAAUGAAUGAGCCGAUGUCGGAUUAGCUAGUUGGCGGGGUAAAGGCCCACCAAGGCGACGAUCCGUAGCUGGUCUGAGAGGAUGGUCAGCCCCACUGGAACUGGGCCACGGUCCAGACUCCUACGGGAGGCAGCAGUGGGGAAUAUUGGACAAUGGGCGCAAGCCUGAUCCAGCCAUACCGCGUGGGUGAAGAAGGCCUUCGGGUUUUAAACCCCUUUUGUUGGGAAAGAAAAGCAGCAGGUUAAUACCCCGCUGUUCUGACGGUACCCAAAGAAUAAGCACCGGCUAACUUCGUG